GUAUUGUUUUUGGGUCGGGUAGAAUCAUUUUCGGGGCAAGGUUGAUUUGAAGAUUUUGCAGCCAAUGAUGAACAUUACAAAGGAAAGAAGCAGUUACACCCUCGAGAAUGGUGAAAUUCCAGGGAAAAUUAUAAAACCAAUCUUCUCUCUGUCCAAACAGUAGAUCCGAUCCGCUACAUUCCCCUUCCACUCCAUCCAUCCUUCCUUCAGAUUUCGAGGUUUUCCCUUUUGUCGUUUUGCGUUUGUAAUCGAGCAAAUCAUUGAUCUCCGAUUGCAGUUCAAGGAUCUGGUGAAACGACAUGGCGAUGGUGGAUCAACCUCUGUAUCCGAUUGCCGUUUUGAUCGACGAGUUGAAGAACGAGGACAUUCAGCUGCGGUUGAACUCGAUCCGAAGGCUUUCCACGAUCGCGCGCGCGCUCGGCGAGGAGAGAACUAGGAAGGAGCUGAUUCCGUUUCUGAGUGAGAACAACGACGAUGACGACGAGGUGCUUCUCGCAAUGGCAGAGGAAUUAGGUGUUUUCAUUCCCUACGUUGGAGGUGUUGAGCAUGCCAAUGUGCUUCUUCCUCCGCUGGAAACUCUCUGCACCGUUGAGGAAACUUGUGUUAGGGACAAAUCAGUGGAGUCACUGUGUAGAAUUGGAGCUCAGAUGAGAGAAAAAGACUUGGUUGAACACUUCAUUCCUUUGGUUAAGAGGCUGGCAGCUGGUGAGUGGUUCACGGCACGUGUUUCUUCAUGUGGCUUGUUCCAUAUUGCAUACCCUAGUGCACCAGAGGCGUCGAAGACUGAGCUGAGAGCAAUAUAUGGUCAGCUGUGUCAAGAUGAUAUGCCCAUGGUUAGGAGAUCUGCUGCUACAAACCUGGGAAAAUUUGCUGCUACUGUUGAAGCUGCUCACUUGAAAACCGACAUUAUGUCUGUGUUUGAGGAUCUCACACAGGAUGAUCAAGAUUCUGUUCGGCUACUUGCUGUUGAGGGUUGUGCAGCUCUUGGAAAAUUAUUGGAGCCUCAAGAUUGUGUGGCACAUAUUCUUCCUGUCAUAGUCAAUUUUUCUCAGGACAAGUCAUGGCGUGUUCGUUACAUGGUUGCAAAUCAACUAUAUGAACUAUGUGAAGCUGUUGGUCCUGACCCCACUAGGUCAGAAUUGGUUCCUGCAUAUGUUCGGCUGCUGCGUGAUAAUGAGGCUGAAGUACGUAUUGCUGCUGCUGGGAAAGUAACUAAGUUCUCCCGCAUAUUAAAUCCUGAACUUGCCAUUCAGCAUAUUCUACCUUGUGUGAAGGAGUUAUCAACAGAUUCAUCUCAACAUGUUCGUUCUGCAUUGGCUUCUGUUAUAAUGGGGAUGGCACCAGUGUUAGGAAAGGAUGCUACAAUUGAGCAACUUCUCCCUAUUUUCCUUUCUCUUUUGAAAGACGAGUUUCCUGAUGUUAGGCUAAAUAUUAUCAGCAAGCUGGAUCAAGUGAACCAGGUUAUUGGUAUUGAUCUGUUAUCACAGUCUCUGUUGCCAGCUAUCGUUGAGCUUGCUGAGGAUCGACACUGGAGAGUUCGACUUGCAAUCAUAGAAUAUAUACCCUUAUUAGCAAGUCAGUUGGGUGUUGGUUUUUUUGAUGAUAAGCUUGGAGCUCUUUGUAUGCAGUGGCUAAAGGACAAGGUAUACUCAAUCCGUGAUGCAGCCGCUAAUAACAUCAAACGCUUAGCAGAAGAAUUUGGACCAGAUUGGGCAAUGCAGCACAUUAUUCCCCAGGUUUUGGACAUGAUUACUGAUCCACAUUAUUUGUAUCGCAUGACAAUUCUACAAGCAAUUUCUCUACUAGCACCUGUCCUGGGCUCAGAGAUUACUUCUUCAAAACUGCUACCUCUGGUCAUUAAUGCAUCAAAAGAUAGGUAAAAUUUCAUAGUCCUCACUCCUGUUGUAUAUCUUUAUUUGAGCCAGUGCUCACAGCAUAUCUUGCAGGGUGCCCAAUAUCAAAUUCAAUGUUGCUAAAGUGCUGCAGUCUCUCAUUCCAAUUGUUGAUCAGUCUGUUGUUGAGAAUACCAUCCGUCCCUGUCUGGUGGAGCUCAGUGAGGAUCCAGAUGUUGAUGUUAGGUUUUUUGCCUCACAAGCACUACAAUCUAGUGACCAAGCCAAGAUGUCUAGCUAGAUCAAUCUUCAUAUUGUCUGUCUUUUUUUUUUCCCUUAUGUAAUUGGCGUAAAGCCAACUAGCUCAACCCUGUGUAUCACAUAUCAUUGUUGAGAUCCUGCUUUGCUUUCAUUAUAUCCGAUAUUCAUAGAGCUGGUUCUUCUUUGUAGUGAUGAAACAUUGUCCAGAAGUGAGAGGGGUUUUGACAACCACUAAUUCUAUGAUUUACCAAUGUGAACGUUUUGUAUGAAAUUUUGAUUUAUUAAUACCAUGAGUAUAUUCAUUAUCUGC